rnacentral:rRNA from 1 species
GAUGAACGCUGGCGGCGUGCCUAAUACAUGCCAGUCGAGCGAACAGAUGAGGAGCUUGCUCCUCUGACGUUAGCGGCGGACGGGUGAGUAACACGUGGAUAACCUACCUAUAAGACUGGGAUAACUUCGGGAAACCGGAGCUAAUACCGGAUAAUAUAUUGAACCGCAUUGUUCAAUAGUGAAAGACGGUUUUGCUGUCACUUAUAGAUGGAUCCGCGCCGCAUUAGCUAGUUGGUAAGGUAACGGCUUACCAAGGCAACGAUGCGUAGCCGACCUGAGAGAGUGAUCGGCCACCCUGGAACUGAGACACGGUCCAGACUACUACGGGAGGCAGCAGUAGGGAAUGUGAAGCAAUGGGCGAGAGCUUGACGGAGCAACGCAGAGUGAGUGAUGAAGGUCUUCGGAUCGUAAAAAUCUGUUAUUAGGGAAGAACAAAUGUGUAAGUAACUAUGCACGUCUUGACGGUAACUAAUCAGAAAGCAACGGCUAACUACGUG